UGUCCAGGGAUGGGAAUCGAACCCACAGGGUUCCGCUUACCGGGCAGAUGCCAUGUCCACUAGGCUUUGUGCCUAGUGC
rnacentral:tRNA from 1 species